rnacentral:rRNA from 1 species
UUAACUGAAUCCAUAGGUUAAUGAGGCGAACCGGGGGAACUGAAACAUCUAAGUACCCCGAGGAAAAGAAAUCAACCGAGAUUCCCCCAGUAGCGGCGAGCGAACGGGGAGGAGCCCAGAGUCUGAAUCAGUGUGUGUGUUAGUGGAAGCGUCUGGAAAGGCGCGCGAUACAGGGUGACAGCCCCGUACACAAAAAUGCACAUA